rnacentral:rRNA from 1 species
GACGAACGCUGGCGGCGUGCUUAACACAUGCAAGUCGAACGCUGAAGCACCAGCUUGCUGGUGUGGAUGAGUGGCGAACGGGUGAGUAAUACGUGAGUAACCUGCCCUUGACUCUGGGAUAAGCCCGGGAAACUGGGUCUAAUACUGGAUGCUACAUGUCACCGCAUGGUGGUGUGUGGAAAGGGUUUACUGGUCUUGGAUGGGCUCACGGCCUAUCGGCUUGUUGGUGAGGUAAUGGCUCACCAAGGCGACGACGGGUAGCGGGCCAGAGAGGGUGACAGGCCACACUGGGACUGAGACACGGCACAGACUCCGACGGGAGGCAGCAGGGGGGAAGAUUGCACAAGGGGCGAAAGCCUGAUGCAGCGACUCUGCGGAAGGGAUGACGGCUUUCGGGUUGUAAACCGCUUUCAACAGGGAAGAAGCCACAAGUGACGGUACCUGCAGAAGAAGCGCCGGCUAACUACGUG